rnacentral:rRNA from 1 species
UACGGGGGGGGGCAAGCGUUGUUCGGAAUUACUGGGCGUAAAGGGCUCGUAGGUGGCCAACUAAGUCAGACGUGAAAUCCCCUCAGCUUAACUGGGGGAACUGCGUCUGAUACUGGAUGGCUUGAGUUUGGGAGAGGGAUGCGGAAUUCCAGGUGUAGCGGUGAAAUGCGUAGAUAUCUGGAGGAACACCGGUGGCGAAGGCGGCAUCCUGGACCAACACUGACACUGAUGAGCGAAAGCCAGGGGAGCAAACGGG